rnacentral:rRNA from 1 species
UACGUAGGGUGCAAGCGUUAAUCGGAAUACUGGGCGUAAAGCGUGCGCAGGCGGUUUGGUAAGUCUGACGUGAAAUCCCCGGGCUCAACCUGGGAAUUGCGUUGGAGACUGCAAGGCUGGAGUCUGGCAGAGGGGGGUAGAAUUCCACGUGUAGCAGUGAAAUGCGUAGAGAUGUGGAGGAACACCGAUGGCGAAGGCAGCCCCCUGGGUCAAGACUGACGCUCAUGCACGAAAGCGUGGG